rnacentral:rRNA from 1 species
AACCUCCGCAAUGCACGAAAGUGCGACGGGGGGACCCCGAGUGCCAUCGCCCUUGGGAUGGCCUUUUGCCCGG